ACGUUAAAUCUUUUAUUAUCUUGGAGGCAUCUUGUUUCAGCGUUCUAUGCUGUAGAUCCUAAUGGGGGUCAGAAAAUUGUUGCAGAACCAUAGUGAUGUCCUGCCAGCCAUAUCUGCUGGAGAUCAGCUCAGAUACAUAUGGAGGAUCUCCAUAUAGUAUCUAUUUCCCCUGUUAGUCCACUCAAGAUUGAUGAACAGAAGGCACAUGGAGGGCCUAUUGUGGGUAGCAAUUGUUUGUUUAAAUCAGUUAACACUAGUAGCUUUCCAAGAUCUCAUUUUCUACGGCAAUCUUGCAAAAGUGGCUUUACAAACAAAACAAACAAGUGGAGAUUGCGUUCUAAUUCUUCAUCUCAAAAUCCAUUCAACAGUGGUGCAUCAGAUGGGUCUGCUGAGGUAUGCAAGGGAGAUAAAGCUGCUGAAAGAAAUUCAAAUAAGAAAACUAGAAAGAGGGGAAAGAGGGGAAAGCGGAAUAAAAAUCUCCUGGGCAGUAAAGGCUUAACUGAGUAUGGAUAUGUAUGUGGAAAAUUGACGUCAGUCAGUGAAAAUACGCAUAGUUUUGGUCCGCCUGUAUAUAAAACUGAAUUGGCAGUUUCUCCACCAGAACCUUGUUGUAAUAGUAACAGUCAUCAGCCCAAAAAUAUUGAAAUAAUAAAUGGUCCAGCAAAAACAAAGGCAUUGACAUCCUAUGAAAAUCUGGUGGAGACAUCAAAAGCUUCAAACCUGUCUUCAUCUCAAAAUUUUAGUCAUGAAUCUCAUGCCUCUCAUUGCAAUGGACUCAAAAUUUUCAGUGGAGGGAGACAAUGUAUGCAUAAUAAAUCAAUCAGCUCCUUAGAUCAUCCUUGUUAUGCCAAGAUGAAUGACUCCCUUGUUUUGGAUUUCUUGUCACUUGGUUUAGAGAGUGAAGAAAGUUGUCCUGAAAAUUAUUUCAGGCUCUGCGAUGAAAAGAAUGAUGAUGCUGACAUUACAGAAUUGCCUCAUUACAUUAUCAGGAAACAGAUUUCUCCUGAAGAUAUGCUAAUUGGUAAUACUGAACAUUGUGAUGAUGCAGAGAACAUAGACAUAAUUAGGAAGGACUCUAAUUGUGAAAGAAAUUUGCAUAAUCCAGGAAUGAGAGAGAAGCAUUUAAGAAAAGUUCCAAAGAACUUUAAUAUCUUCAGAAGAUGCAGUUUCAGAAAUUUAAAACAGCAUUCUGGGAAAGAAAGCAGUAAUUCUGUAUGGCAGAAGGUUCAGAGAAAUGAAGGUGAAUGCAGACCUAAGUUUGAAAAGGUAGACUCAGUGUGUUCAGAAUUUUUUGAUGAGACAGAAGAGGGUCCUGUAUAUAAAAAGGAUAGUAAUGUUGCUGAAUGUUACAUGCUCUUGAAACCUGAAAAUAAAAAUCAGACACAGCUCAAGACUUCUGGAAAGCUGAAAAGAAAAAUGAGCCCAGGUUCAAAGAAAGAGUACAUCUCUCACUGUUGGAAAUCAUCCCAUGCUGUAAAGAUUUCUUCAAAUUUUUAUUCAAAGACUAAUAUGCGACAGAAUGAAUUCUUGGAAUCUGCUCAAAUAAGCCAGAGAAAAGGUAAUGGUGUUUCCAAUGCACAUUCGAGUAACUGGUGUCCUAGGAUUGGACAUCGUCCUGCGAAAGUUGAUAUCGGUACAUUUAAACAUAUUCACCAUACUGAAAUGUCGUCAACUAAUUUGGAGGCAUGUGACCGAGUCUAUAUUGCUGUUUCUGAUUUGACAGAUCAACCUGCAGAAAAUCAAGUGAACUUGCUAUUCAAUUCAUGUGUCCCCCUUGGCCCGUCAGAGUUGCACAAGCAACUUUCUGGACUAAGCCUUCAUAUUCAUGUGGAUGAUGAAAAUGACAAGAGAGAGAAAGAAGUCCCUCUUGCAGUUGGUGGCAGCCAGGAUGACGACUCUGCAGCUGUUUUAGAGGAAAGGAAAUCUAUUGGGGUUGGAGAUGCUGACGUUCAAGGUGUAAGUUGCAAUAGUUUGUCUAUUGGAGAGCUUCGUGAGUUAGCUGAUAAAAGCUUGAGUCCUGAAGUCAUUGCAGAAGAGAGAUUGGCUUCUAAUCCUUACCCUCUGGUUUUUUCAGAAAAUAUUGGAGUAACAUACAAUGAUCAGAGUUCUAACAACAUUAAUGAUUUACCUUUUGGAGAUGAACAUCAGGUUCAGAAGUCAAUGUAUAAAAGCACAUGCUUGCCUGCAGAGCGCAGUGGCAAUCAUGCUGGUGCAACAUGCUGGAUUCCUGAAAUCAGAAGCCAAAUUGUUUUUGAUUCUGAAAAUCAAUCAAACGACAUUGUUUCGUUAGUGAAUGGUGUCAUUGGUCACAACUAGCCUCUGAGGCUAUUGAGAUGGCUGCUGGUUGUCCGAUUCUGAAUUUGAAAGAUUUCUUCACUCGGCCUCUCCUAUUCUAUGUCCAUCUCAUGAUGUCUUCAGUGGUCAGACUUGCAAGGCCAAGCAGGUUGCUGGUAUAUCUGUGCAUAGGGAUGAGCCACUUAAUCUCUCUUUGGGGAGCUUGUGGCAGUGGUAUGAGAAGCCUGGUUGCUAUGGUCUGGAAGUAAUAGCUGAAGAUUGUGAAAAUUCAAAGAAAUUAGGAAUAGAUCAUUUUGAAUUUCAUGCCUAUUUUGUCCCAUCUUUAUCUGCUGUGCAGCUUUUCAGAAGAUGCAUGCCUUGUCCUACAGGAAAGAGCGACGUGAUGACUGAAACUGUGACAGGCAAGCCACAAGAGAUGAAUGAAACUGUAAGAUUUGCUGGUGCCACGCUUAUUCCAAUAUAUUCCAUACUUGUACCUCAACAUCACACUGAAAACAAACCCAUUUUGCCACCACAAAAUCAUGUCUCUGACUCUCAGCCACCUUCAUCGUGCAAAAAGGAAAAUGAGAUUAAUCGACCUGUCGGAUCAAAUUUUGCUGAUGAUAUAGAGCUUCUUUUUGAAUAUUUUGAAUGUGAACAACCUCAACAAAGACGUCCACUGUUCGAAAUGUAUGUAUAAUACCAUUCUUAGUAUGUAUGGUUGUGCAUAUUAUUUUUUAUGUUUGACAUGGGAGAUCCUGGCCCAUUUUUCUGAUCAUAUUUCCUUUGAUUUUGAUCAUUCUGUUCUGAAAAUUUUCAUCAUAAUUCUGUCAUAUAUGUCUAUUUUGACUUACACUUCUACUAUACACACUCAAACCUGAAUUAUAUGACCCUUCUGGAAUGGGUCGUAGCCCUCGUACCAUUGUGUGAUUCGCAUCAAACGAAUCCUCUUUUAGGUUGGGUAGAGUCCACAAGGUAGAUUUUGUUUUACAUGAUAUCGGUCUUCUUAGAAAAUUCCAUGGUGCUGCCUCUCCUUGUGAGCUCAUUUCUGCACCACAGCGACCUCCUCUAGGCCAGCUGCCACCAUGCCAUCCCCUUUUUUCACAAUGGAGAGAAGUAUCAAACUACAAAAUAUGUGAUAAUUGGCAUGGCAGAAGGCUUGGAUGCAUUUGAUGCCAGUGGCAUGAAAAAGAUCAGUGGUGGUCAAUGAAGUAGGAUUGAUGUGCCUCCUCCUUCACCUACCUCUGUCAACCUUUCUCUUUGGAGUAACUGUAUUGACAUUUAAAUCAGUAGUUGUGCUUGCUAAAGCAAUAAGUGAAAGUGGUGAUUCUUCCCCAACUUCUCAAAGUAGAUGUAAGAGGCAAGAAUAGUUGUGUGAUCCACGUGUUGCAAUGAGUUGACUUGCAGUCAGUAUAUUUUUUUAUUGAAGUGUGUAGAAAGACAAGGUUGAGAUAAACAAAUAUAGGUUUGACAGUAGGCACACAAUGGUGGGGGAAGGGUUGAAGUUUCCUUCAUGUGUUUGAAAACUUUGUGGGAUAUGGAUGGAGUUCAAGCAUAAGCCUCGGGAUUGUAAUGUAAUCUAAAAAUCAAUCCAUUAACUAAAUAUAAAUUUAUUUUUACCUUACCUCUUCUUUAUAUUUGUCAUUUAAUCUUACGGCAGACUUUAUAUUGUACUGACAUACGUUUUUUUAUUUGUAUCUAAAUGACCAAAAUCUACACAAAUACUUUGAUAUGGCUGGCAUUCACUGAUUUCACUAGUAGAGAACUGCAUAAGCACAGAGUUGCAUUUCCUUGACAGAGCUAUUUAAUUAAAUGCCUUGUAUAUACGUGUUAUGUUUGCAUUUGUAUAUCAGAAAAUGAGGCAGGAUGAACAGUUCACGAGCAUUUUUGAAGUCUUUGGAAAUCUGUGUGGCUUAAACAGAUAAAUACUUCUACAUAAUUCAUUGAUCUAAGGUCAACAUACAUAAAACUGGUUUCACAAACAAUCUGUGGAUUUAAAUUAUUUUCUGAUUCUUGUGUUUCAGGAUAAAGGAGCUUGUUAGAGGUGAAGGACAUUCAAAAUGCAGAGCACGUGGAGAUCCCACUGUUCUAGAGCAGGUGGGUCUACAGGAUCUUCACCAAAGUUCAUGGUCAGUAAAUGUAGAGACUAAUCCAGAAUAAUAAGUUAUGCAACCUUGUAAAGUUAGUUUGAUAUGAACAUGUAUUGUUGUUGAGCAUUGACAGUCUAUUUUCAGGUAUUCAGUUGCAUGGUAUCCCAUUUAUAGAAUACCUGAUGGCUCUCUUCGUGCAGCUUUCUUGACUUACCAUUCACUUGGCCAUUUGGUACGCAAAGACCCCAUACAUGAUUCGUCGGUGGAUACUUGUAUAGUUUCUCUGGUUGUGGGCCUCCAGAGCUACAAUGCUCAGGUAGAUAUAUUCUGCUACAAAUUCUUCUUCAA
rnacentral:lncRNA from 1 species